rnacentral:rRNA from 1 species
AGUGAACGCUGGCGGUAGGCCUAACACAUGCAAGUCGAACGGCAGCACAGUAAGAGCUUGCUCUUACGGGUGGCGAGUGGCGGACGGGUGAGGAAUACAUCGGAAUCUACUUUUUCGUGGGGGAUAACGUAGGGAAACUUACGCUAAUACCGCAUACGACCUACGGGUGAAAGCAGGGGAUCUUCGGACCUUGCGCGAUUGAAUGAGCCGAUGUCGGAUUAGCUAGUUGGCGGGGUAAAGGCCCACCAAGGCGACGAUCCGUAGCUGGUCUGAGAGGAUGAUCAGCCACACUGGAACUGAGACACGGUCCAGACUCCUAUGGGAGGCAGCAGUGGGGAAUAUUGGACAAUGGGCGAAAGCCUGAUCCAGCCAUACCGCGUGGGUGAAGAAGGCCUUCGGGUUGUAAAGCCCUUUUGUUGGGAAAGAAAAGCAGCAGGUUAAUACCCCGCUGUUCUGACGGUACCCAAAGAAUAAGCACCGGCUAACUUCGUG